rnacentral:rRNA from 1 species
CAGUCGCCGCGGGAAUACGGGGGGGGCAAGUGUUAUUCGGAAUGACUGGGCGUAAAGGGCACGUAGGCGGUGAAAAGGGUGGAAAGUGAAAGUCGCCAAAACACUGGCGGGGUGCUUUCUUGACCAUUUCACUUGAGUGAGAUAGGGGAGAGUGGAAUUUCGUGUGGAGGGAUCAAAUCCUAAGAUAUACGAAGGAACGCCAACCGCGAAGGCAGCUCUCUGGGUCCCCACUGACGCUGGGGUGCGAAAGCAUGGGGAGCAAACAGGAUCAGAUACCCGCGUAGUCCCUGUCUCUUAUACA